UACGUAGGGUGCAAGCGUUGUCCGGAAUUAUUGGGCGUAAAGAGCUCGUAGGCGGUCUGCCGCGUCGAAUGUGAAAACCCGGGGCUCAACCCCGGGCCUGCAUUCGAUACGGGCAGACUAGAGUUCGGUAGGGGAGUCUGGAAUUCCUGGUGUAGCGGUGAAAUGCGCAGAUAUCAGGAGGAACACCGGUGGCGAAGGCGGGACUCUGGGCCGAUACUGACGCUGAGGAGCGAAAGCGUGGGGAGCGAACAGG
rnacentral:rRNA from 1 species